UUGCAGUUAAAAAGCUCGUAGUUGAAUUUCUGGUCAGUUGUAGUCUUGGCUUCGGUCGGGCUAUGGCUGGUCAUCCGUUUGCAAGCUGCUCUCGGCCUUCACUGGUUCGGAGUAGUGAGCUGACAAUUUACUUUGAAAAAAUUAGAGUGUUUCAGGCAGGCUUUUGCCCGAAUACAUUAGCAUGGAAUAAUGGAAUUGGACUUAGGUUCAUUUGGUUGGUUAUUGGAUCUGAGUAAUGGUUAAUAGGGACAGUUGGGGGCAUUAGUAUUUAAUUGUCAGAGGUGAAAUUCUUGGAUUUUUUAAAGACUAACUUAUGCGAAAGCAUUUGCCAAGGAUGUUUUCAUUAAUCAAGAACGAAAGUUAGGGGAUAAAAGAUGAUCAGAUACCAUUGUAUUCUUAACUAUAAACUAUACCGACUCGGAAUUGGUAGGGUUUCUUAGCUCUAUCAGCACCGUAGGAGAAAUCAAAGUCUUUGGGUUCUGGGGGGAGUAUAGUCGCAAGG
rnacentral:rRNA from 1 species